rnacentral:rRNA from 1 species
AACGAACGCUGGCGGCAUGCCUAACACAUGCAAGUCGAACGAGACCUUCGGGUCUAGUGGCGCACGGGUGCGUAACGCGUGGGAACCUGCCCUUAGGUUCGGAAUAACUCCCCGAAAGGGGUGCUAAUACCGGAUAAUGUCUUCGGACCAAAGAUUUAUCGCCUUUGGAUGGGCCCGCGUUGGAUUAGCUAGUUGGUAGGGUAAAAGCCUACCAAGGCGACGAUCCAUAGCUGGUCUGAGAGGAUGAUUAGCCACACUGGGACGGAGACAUGGCCCAGACUCCUACGGGAGGCAGCAGUGGGGAAUAUUGGACAAUGGGCGAAAGCCUGAUCCAGCAAUGCCGCGUGAGUGAUGAAGGCCUUAGGGUUGUAAAGCUCUUUUACCCGGGAUGAUAAUGACAGUACCGGGAGAAUAAGCGCCGGCUAACUCCGUG